rnacentral:rRNA from 1 species
GACGAACGCUGGCGGCGUGCCUAAUACAUGCAAGUAGAACGCACAGUUUAUACCGUAGCUUGCUACACCAUAGACUGUGAGUUGCGAACGGGUGAGUAACGCGUAGGUAACCUGCCUGGUAGCGGGGGAUAACUAUUGGAAACGAUAGCUAAUACCGCAUAAUAUUGAUUAUUGCAUGAUAAUUAAUUGAAAGGUGCAAUUGCACCACUACCAGAUGGACCUGCGUUGUAUUAGCUAGUAGGUGAGGUAACGGCUCACCUAGGCGACGAUACAUAGCCGACCUGAGAGGGUGAUCGGCCACACUGGGACUGAGACACGGCCCAGACUCCUACGGGAGGCAGCAGUAGGUAAUCUUCAGCAAUGGACGAAAGUCUGACCGAGCAACGCCGCAUGAGUGAAGAAGGUUUUCGGAUCGUAAAGCUCUGUUGUAAGAGAGGAACGGGUGUGAGAGUGGAAAGUUCACACUGUGACGGUAACUUACCAGAAAGGGACGGCUAACUACGUG